UAAAGAUAAUAAGGGCGUAUGGUGGAUGCCUUGGCGAUAUCAGCCGAAGAAGGACGCGGUAAGCUGCGAUAAGCUACGGAGAGGUGCAAGCAACCUGUGACCCGUAGAUUUCCGAAUGGGGGAACCCGGCAGUGGUUAUGCACUGUCACCCAUAGCUUAGACUAUGAGGAGGGCACCUGGGGAACUGAAACAUCUAAUUACCCAGAGGAACAGUAAUCAAACGAGAUUUUCUUAGUAGCGGCGAGCGAACGGGAAAGAGGCCAAACCGGAGCGGGCAACCGCACCGGGGUUGAGGACAGUCAUCAAGUGUAAAUGAGGUAGAAGAAUCGAGCUGGAAAGCUCAGCCGCAGAAGGUGAAAGCCCUGUAAUCGAAACCUUGCAUACAUGGGACUGUAUCCAGAGUACCACGAGACACGUGAAACCUUGUGGGAAGCAGGGGGGACCACCCUCCAAGCCAAAAUACUGAUAUCGACCGAUAGCGCAUAGUACCGUGAGGGAAAGGUGAAAAGAACCCCUGGCGGGGAGUGAAAGAGAACCUGAAACCGUAUGUCUACAAACAGUCGAAGUCUGUAUAUAUAUCAGGACGACGGCGUGCCUAUUGAAGAAUGAACCGACGAGUUACUGUUGCUAGCGAGGUUAAGUGGAAAACAUGGAGCCGCAGCGAAAGCGAGUCUGAACAGGGCGUUCAGUUAGUAAUAGUAGACCCGAAACCGUAGUGAUCUAUCCAUGGCCAGGUUGAAGCACAGGUAAAAUUGUGUGGAGGACCGAACUCGUGAGCGUUGAAAAGCUUUGGGAUGAGUUGUGGAUAGGGGUGAAAUGCCAAUCGAACACGGAGAUAGCUGGUUCUCCCCGAAAUAGCUUUAGGGCUAGCCUCGAGGUAGAGAGUAUAGGCGGUAGAGCACUGAUCGGGCUAGGGGCCAUACCGGUUACCGAACCUAGUCAAACUACGAAUGGCUAUACUUAUACUCGGGAGUCAGACAGUGAAUGAUAAGGUCCAUUGUCAAGAGGGAAACAGCCCAGAACACCGACUAAGGUCCCCAAUGUUACACUAAGUGGCGAAGGAUGUGGAAUUUCCAAAACAACCAGGAUGUUGGCUUAGAAGCAGCCACCAUUUAAAGAGUGCGUAAUAGCUCACUGGUCGAGAGACUCUGCGCCGAAAAUGUCCGGGGCUAAAGUGUAAAACCGAAGUCGUGUCAUAUGCAGCAAUGUAUAUGGGUAGGGGAGCGUUCUCAUCGGGCUGAAGCAGUACCGUAAGGAGUUGUGGACUGAUGAGAAGUGAGAAUGUCGGUAUGAGUAGCGAAAAGAAUGGUGAGAAUCCAUUCCACCGAAAGCCUAAGGGUUCCUGAGCAACGAUCGUCGUCUCAGGGUAAGUCGGGACCUAAGCCGAGGCGGAAUAGCGUAGGCGAUGGACAACAGGUUGAAAUUCCUGUACCGGUGUGAAUCGUUUGAUCGAUGGAGUGACACAGUAAGGUAGGUCAGCACGCGAUUGGAAGAGCGUGUUUAAGCAGGUAGGUUGAGCUAUAGGCAAAUCCGUAGCUCUAAAAGCUGAGAUGUGAUGACGAGUGACUAGCAAUAGUCGCGAAGUGAUUGAUCCUACACUGUCGAGAAAAGCUUCUAGGUAGAGACACAUCGCCCGUACCAAAACCGACACAGGUAGGCGGGGAGAGAAUCCUAAGGUGCGCGGGAAAACCCUCGUUAAGGAACUCGGCAAAAUGCCUCCGUAACUUCGGGAAAAGGAGGACUCAUGUAGUGUGAAGAGCAGAAACGCUUGGAGCAUGAAUGAGUGGCACAAGAGAGGCGCAAGCGACUGUUUACCACAAACACAGGUGCCUGCUAAAGCGAAAGCUGAUGUAUAGGUGCUGACACCUGCCCGGUGCUGGAAGGUUAAGAGGAGGGGUUAGACUUCGGUCGAAGCUCUGAAUUGAAGCCCCAGUAAACGGCGGCCGUAACUAUAACGGUCCUAAGGUAGCGAAAUUCCUUGUCGGGU
rnacentral:rRNA from 1 species